GGGGGGGAGACAUUCUGACAAUUCAUUCAUCUCCUUACAAUUAAGACAUCUUCCUACAACCCAUUCUCAAGUCUUCAUUCUUCUACUCUUAAAUUCCACAACAAGAGAAUCGUUACUUGCUACGGAAUCACUAAAACCACACGCCAAACACCUACUAUUCACGCCAUCCACCAUGCAAAACGUGAUAUCCUUCGCAUUCAUGGGUAACUAAAUCUCUUAGUUGGGGUUAUGGAAGCCGAAUGAGUUACUAUCUAUAGCUAUGAGUUUGUGAGUUCAAGACAAGUAUAUUGCUUAUAUCAUUAUUCUCUUCAUCUUAAAUCUACAUUCUUUGCGGUUCAAACACAAGAACACGCCAUUCUAACAUCUAACCUGUUCGAGAGAAAGGUUAUUUGUCUAGAAAAGAAGACGCAUAGACCAACGCCAGUCUAACAUCUGACUUGUUCGAGAGAAAAGUUAUUUGUCUGGAAAAGAGAUAAUGUCAAGGUAGUAGGACACCCUUUCCUAUUAAAAAGCUAGUGCCGUACCUGGACUAACUUCUUGGAG
rnacentral:lncRNA from 1 species